rnacentral:rRNA from 1 species
CAUGCAAGUCGAACGAGUGAGAGAGAGCUUGCUUUCUCGAGCGAGUGGCGAACGGGUGAGUAACGCGUGAGGAACCUGCCUCAAAGAGGGGGACAACAGUUUGAAACGACUGCUAAUACCGCAUAAGCCCACGGCUCGGCAUCGAGCAGAGGGAAAAGGAGCAAUCCGCUUUGAGAUGGCCUCGCGUCCGAUUAGCUAGUUGGUGAGGUAACGGCCCACCAAGGCGACGAUCGGUAGCCGGACUGAGAGGUUGAACGGCCACAUUGGGACUGAGACACGGCCCAGACUCCUACGGGAGGCAGCAGUGGGGAAUAUUGCACAAUGGGGGAAACCCUGAUGCAGCGACGCCGCGUGGAGGAAGAAGGUCUUCGGAUUGUAAACUCCUGUUGUUGAGGAAGAUAAUGACGGUACUCAACAAGGAAGUGACGGCUAACUACGUGCCAGCAGCCGCGGUAAAACGUAGGUCACAAGCGUUGUCCGGAAUUACUGGGUGUAAAGGGAGCGCAGGCGGGAAGGCAAGUUGGAAGUGAAAUCCAUGGGCUCAACCCAUGAACUGCUUUCAAAACUGUUUUUCUUGAGUAGUGCAGAGGUAGGCGGAAUUCCCGGUGUAGCGGUGGAAUGCGUAGAUAUCGGGAGGAACACCAGUGGCGAAGGCGGCCUACUGGGCACCAACUGACGCUGAGGCUCGAAAGUGUGGGUAGCAAACAGGAUUAGAUACCCUGGUAGUCCACACUGUAAACGAUGAUUACUAGGUGUUGGAGGAUUGACCCCUUCAGUGCCGCAGUUAACACA